GUAGGGGAGGGGAGCCGAGCGGCACCGGAGCGACCGCGUCUGCCCCGCCCGGGACUCAGCGUGGGUGGAAGGGUGGAUGGAUGCGGCGGGACCUGGCCCGCGUUUGCGGUGGCCGUGCCCCUCGGGAGCGCCCGUCCACGGGGAUCCCGUGAUAGCGAGGGGCGCCCGGGGGCGGGGGUUGCCCGUGUGCGGCAGCUCUGUGGCUUGUGAGCUGUUCCUCCGUGCCUCGGCCUCCGGCGUGGGAGCGGCAGCCUGGGAAGCCGAGUCUGGUGAAUACAGAUGGAAAGAGGGCAGCAAGUGAAGUUCAACAUGAGUUUGUUACUGGCUCUGGGAAUCUUCAAUCUGGACUCUGCCACGCUGUUGCCUUGCAAGCAGAAAGAUGUCACGUGAAUUCUAGAGCUACAGAAGUGACAUCAGGUGACCAUCUCCACUGUCUCCCAGCCUUGUGUAUGCACUCCGAGCCAGCAGUAGAGUCCACUGCUAGUCUUCCCAUUUUUGCUUAAGAGAUCAUGGGAGAGACUGUGGAGAGCUUGAAAAGAGCAGCCUGGAAUGUGGAGUUCUAAUGCACUUGGAAAUGCUUCCAUGGCCCUUCCUGCUUCUCAGAAAUACUGCUUGAUUCAAUAAUAUUGCAGGGAAGUACCUGUUUGCUGAAUAUGUCUGAAUAAUCCUGGAAUGAAGUUCAGGUGAGAGUGUCACUCUGGAAAGGGAACUGGCCUUAGAACUUGGUAUGAAUAUUUGAGUGUAUCAAAUAAAUGGAUUAAAAGUGAAUACAGCAAGGGUUAAAACGUGUAGGAAAACUCAUUAUCUUGGCUAAAGUGUUUACAAUGUUAGUAGUGGGUAUGAAUAAAAUCUUGGAUUUCUGUU